CCGGCGCACGGGUGAGUAACGCGUAUGCAACUUGCCUAUCAGAGGGGGAUAACCCGGCGAAAGUCGGACUAAUACCGCAUGAAGCAGGGGCCCCGCAUGGGGAUAUUUGCUAAAGAUUCAUCGCUGAUAGAUAGGCAUGCGUUCCAUUAGGCAGUUGGCGGGGUAACGGCCCACCUAACCGACGAUGCGUAGGGGUUCUGAGAGGAAGGUCCCCCACACUGGUACUGAGACACGGACCAGACUCCUACGGGAGGCAGCAG
rnacentral:rRNA from 1 species